rnacentral:rRNA from 1 species
UACGAAGGAUCCAAGCGUUAUCCGGAUUUAUUGGGUUUAAAGGGUGCGUAGGCGGUUUUGUAAGUCAGUGGUGAAAUCUUCGGGCUUAACCCGGAAAUUGCCAUUGAUACUGCAGAACUUGAGUACAUUUGAAGUGGGCGGAAUAUGACAUGUAGUGGUGAAAUACUUAGAUAUGUCAUAGAACACCGAUUGCGAAGGCAGCUCACUAAACUGUAACUGACGCUGAUGCACGAAAGCGUGGGGAU